UACGUAGGGGGCAAGCGUUGUCCGGAUUCAUUGGGCGUAAAGAGCGUGUAGGCGGCCAGGUAGGUCGGUUGUGAAAACUGGAGGCUCAACCUUCAGAGGUCGACCGAAACCAUCUGGCUAGAGUCCGGGAGAGGAGAGUGGAAUUCCUGGUGUAGCGGUGAAAUGCGCAGAUAUCAGGAAGAACACCCGUGGCGAAAGCGGCUCUCUGGAACGGUACUGACGCUGAGACGCGAAAGCCAGGGGAGCGAACGGG
rnacentral:rRNA from 1 species